UACGAAGGGGGCUAGCGUUGUUCGGAUUUACUGGGCGUAAAGCGCACGUAGGCGGAUCGAUCAGUCAGGGGUGAAAUCCCAGGGCUCAACCCUGGAACUGCCUUUGAUACUGUCGAUCUGGAGUAUGGAAGAGGUGAGUGGAAUUCCGAGUGUAGAGGUGAAAUUCGUAGAUAUUCGCAAGAACACCAGUGGCGAAGGCGGCCAACUGGUCCGGAACUGACGCUGAGGUGCGAAAGCGUGGGGAGCAAACAGG
rnacentral:rRNA from 1 species